AUCAGAACACUCUGGAGCAGAGGGGGCCAGCCACACACUUCUGAGGCACAAAAGGGGAGACAACCAAAAUGUCCCCAACAUGUACACCUUUUCCUGAGCAAUCAACUACCAGGCGCUGCUGUUACGGUCUGGUGUCAAUGUCACCACAGGCUCACAAGUUUGAACACUUGCUCCCCAACUGGCAGAUGUGAUUCUUCCUAUCAGCACUCUCCUCCGCCGGCAUAGCGGCCAGCAACAAGCAGCGCCAUUUAACCAAUAUUGGUGCCGUGACCCGGAUACACCACCGAGCACCGAGGACCUGCUGUGACCGCUGCCUCCUCUUCCCCCAUUCAGACCGCGAGCACGCAUCCCUCGCCACCUCCACUGGACCCCCACACAGCUACCACUGCCGUCACCACAGGGAAAUAGUGUCAAUGGUGGACCAACUGCAGUACAGUCGCAGCCCUCACAUCCCUUGACGAAGAGGACUCGUGACUUAAGCUGAUGCAUAGAUCUUUCUUCACUCUUGGGGACGCCUGAGAUUGUAGUCUGAUCCCAGUUUGUUAAUUUAAUUUUUUAUUUUUCUCUAGGCUACAGCCAUGAGACAAAGGGGUGGAUACUUUUGCCACCUACACUG